AGCCCUAGCCAUUACACUGGCUACAAGUGUUCCUGACCUUGUUCAUAGUAGGGUGAUUGAUCUAAAGCUACAACCCAAACCAAUACCGCAACCUGAACCAAAGCCUGCACCACAACCAGACCCAAAGCCAGAACCCAAGCCAACACCGCAGCCUGACCCAAAACCCACACCACAACCAGACCCAAAGCCAGAACCCAAGCCGGCACCACAGCCUGAACCAAAGCCCGCACCACAACCAGAUCCAAAGCCAGAACCUAAACCGACACCGCAACCAAAACCAAAACCUACACCACAACCAGACCCACAACCAGAACCAAAACCCACACCACAACCAGACCCAAAACCGGAACCUAAACCCACACCACAACCAGAUCCAAAGCCCGAGCCAAAACCAACACCACAGCCACCCUCCUCGCAACCUGAACCAAAGCCCGAGCCUGAGCCAAGCCCCAAACCUACGCCAGAACCUAAACCUCAGCUGGAGCCUCAACCAAGCCCAAAACCCCAACCUGAACCAUCCAAGCCAGAGC
rnacentral:lncRNA from 1 species